UCUUUCCCUUUGACCUUUGAUUCAGGAUCUCUGACCCUCAGGCCUAGGGACUAUCCUCCCUCCCCUCAGCGAUCAUGGGAACCACGGGAAGCCCAGCAACCACGGGAAGCCAAAGUGAUCUCUACACCCAACAUGGAGCUUGAACUCAACCCCGAGAUCAAGAGUCACAUGCUCCACCAACUGAGCCUUCUUUCUAUUUUAGAUUACCUCUAAGGAGGCUCCAUAGUCUUGUGCUUAGGGAUUCCCAGGGAUCUUGAUCCAGACUUGCAACCAUAGAGCCAGGGUUUUGGGUCAGGAGGGAUUCCAACCCCAUAUGGUGGGCCUAGGACACCCUUCCUUCCUUGGCCCUUGGGAUGGAGGGGGUAUCCCUUGCCCCCAGCCUUCUCCCUAAGAUGCAAGCCAUUCCUUUCAUAUGGGAAAUAUUCAUCACACUGCUGUAGCAGGUAGGGCCCUAUAACAAAGCACCACAAAGUGGGUGUCUUAAAACAGAAAUUUAUUGUCUCCGUUUCGGAGAGCAGUCCAACGUGUGGGCAGGUCCAAGCUCCCUCUGAAGUCUGUGGGGGACAUCACUCCUGGCCUCUUCCCAGCUUCUGGUGUGGCUGUCAGUCCUCGGCAUUUGUGGUUUGCAGCUGUGCCCUGCAUCUGUCAUCACGUGGCAUUCUCCCUGUGUGUCUGUGCCUGUGCCCCAACUUCCCUCUUCAUAUUGGAUUAAAGGCCCACCCUAAAGAUCUCAUCUGAACUUGAUGACAUCUUCAAAGACUCUAUUUUCAAAUAAGGUCACAUUUACAAGUUUUGGGGGUAGGACUACAAAGUCUUCGGGGUGACACAAUUCAACGCAAAACACCAGGUAUUCAACAAGUGGCAGCCGUGAUGAUAAGCAUCUGAGUACACACAUGGUACAUGCUGGCACAAUGAAAGUAGGAGGCUCGGCCCAUGCCUUGUAUCACAGUUGUUGUGUGCAGAGGGACCAUCAAGCUGCCUGUCUUUGGUCUUGGGGGAGCUUAAUUCUGAAAGGACUGUUGUGGGCAAGGUGGUUUGGGGGCUGGUAACGGAGCUGGUCCGGAGCUUCAUCACUGUGCCUCUAAAUAAUUAAUUCAUCUUCUUCCUUGGUGUUUACAUCCUUCAGAUAUCUGUAGAUGGCUAUCAUGUCCCUUCAGUCAUCACUCAGCACCUGUCUACUUAUUUGCCAUGGUGCUGAGUAUGUUUAUUGUUGUUGUUGUUGUUGUUGUUGUUGUUGUUGUUGUUGUUAUUUCCUCCCUGCACACUCCCUUGGUCCCUCAGCCACCAUCAUGGUUCUGUGAAUUUCCUCCAGUUUCCAGCCCUGCAAGUGCCAAGUUACGGGGAGGGAGCAUCAGAAGUCAGUAGUCAGGUGACAAGGGAUGGCUCACAGGCCCUCUGGCCUCCUACUCCUCUGUAAUUUUUGUCAGUUUCCCCAAAGCCACAUCAAAUAAAUAGGCAAGCUAAGGAAAAACAGCGUGCUUACGGUGCAAAUGCAGUUUCCAGACAAAUCCCCUGCCCCUCCUCCCAUCCAGACAGUUCCCAGGUUCCUCAGCUACUAAAUGAGAAGAAUCCUUGCUCUCAACACCGAAGGGCUGCUGUGAGGACUUCAGGAGGAACAGAGCCAAGAGCCCCCGUGUCAACCACAAGGCUGGGAGAGCCGCAGUGCCAGCAAUGCUUUCAAAAAACGAUUGGAUCUCUGCAGAAUGUUCCAGGGGUCCGCUGCUCUAGAAGCUAGAAAUUCUAAGUUAGAAUUUACAAAAUGAACUUGAUAGAACUGAGAUUCACCCUAAAAUCUGUCUGUGGAAAGAAUAGAGAGAUGCCCUGCUUCAAAAUCUACCAUCAGAUUUUAGUUUUCCAAAUAAAGUAUGGAACUCAGAGCCAGGUGGGCCCUUGGAGACAUGUUACAGAUGGCCCUGAGGGGGCUUUGGAAGGUUAUGCUGCUAUAAAAGAUUUGAAAAAAAAAAAAGGCCACCUUGCCUUCUAUUUCAGAUCUCACUGAAGAGUUCUCUGUACCUGGAAGACUUAUUUUCAGUGUGAGAAGAGUGAUUUUCAAUGGUUCUGUUGAACAUGCAAUUCUCAUGCAAGUAUUUCUAUAAUUAUCCUGUUUCAGUUAUAAUACAGUUUCCGGAACAAUAGGACUUUUAUUGUAUUGCCAUAUCUGUUAUAAUAGAUGUUUUAUUACAGAAAAUGAUGGUAGAGUCACUA